rnacentral:rRNA from 1 species
UACGUAGGGGGCAAGCGUUGUCCGGAAUCAUUGGGCGUAAAGAGCGUGUAGGCGGCCUGAUAAGUCGGCUGUGAAAGUCAAGGGCUCAACCCUUGAAUGCCGGCCGAUACUGUCAGGCUAGAGUCCGGAAGAGGCGAGUGGAAUUCCUGGUGUAGCGGUGAAAUGCGCAGAUAUCAGGAAGAACACCUAUGGCGAAGGCAGCACUCUGGGACGGUACUGACGCUGAGACGCGAAAGCGUGGGGAGCGAACAGG